rnacentral:rRNA from 1 species
CAGUAGCCGCGGGAAUACGUAGGGAGCGAGCGUUAAUCGGAAUUACUGGGCGUAAAGCGUGCGCAGGCGGUUGUGUAAGACAGGUGUGAAAUCCCCGGGCUUAACCUGGGAACUGCGCUUGUGACUGCACAGCUAGAGUAUGGCAGAGGGGGGUGGAAUUCCACGUGUAGCAGUGAAAUGCGUAGAGAUGUGGAGGAACACCGAUGGCGAAGGCAGCCCCCUGGGCCAAUACUGACGCUCAUGCACGAAAGCGUGGGGAGCAAACAGGAUUAGAUACCCCGGUAGUCCCUGUCUCUUAUAC